GUAAUAUAUUAUGCUUCACAGAGUCGUGGCUGAACGAUGACACUAUCAACAUACAGCUGGCUGGUUAUACUGUACGCUGUACUGGCAGGAUAGAACAGCGGUGUCUGUCCCAGUUAGGGACUGUGCUGUGGCCAAGAGUGUAUCAUAAGCUGUCAGGGGACAGAUGUGAGGAGGAGUCAGACUGUCAGCUGGAGAGUGUGUGCUCUGGUCUCUCCCCCAUUUGCCCUGAGCCUACAGCCAAGACCAACAGAACCCCUAUCCUUCUCUCUCUGUCCAUUUCUCCAUCUAUUUCUCAGAAUUGUCACUUUGAGUCACAGUGUGUGAGUUACAGCCUGGAGCAGUGUGACUGUCCUGGGAGAGUCCAAGAAAGGGAAGUGCCACGUGC
rnacentral:lncRNA from 1 species